rnacentral:rRNA from 1 species
CAGUCGCCGCGGGAAUACGUAGGUGGCAAGCGUUGUCCGGAAUUAUUGGGCGUAAAGCGCGCGCAGGUGGUUUAAUAAGUCUGAUGUGAAAGCCCACGGCUCAACCGUGGAGGGUCAUUGGAAACUGUUAAACUUGAGUGCAGGAGAGAAAAGUGGAAUUCCUAGUGUAGCGGUGAAAUGCGUAGAGAUGUGGAGGAACACCAGUGGCGAAGGCGACUCUCUGGUCUGUAACUGACGCUGAGGAGCGAAAGCGUGGGGAGCGAACAGGAUUAGAUACCCCAGUAGUCCCUGUCUCUUAUAC